rnacentral:rRNA from 1 species
CAAUAGCGUAUAUUAACGUUGUUGCAGUUAAAAAGCUCGUAGUUGGAUUUCUGGAGGGAGCGUCGGCCCGUAUUUACGAGUGCGUGACGUCUCUGUCCAUCCUUGCGGGAAGGCACGGCAUUGAUUUGUUGUGUCGGAUCGCAUCAUUUACUGUGAAAAAAUUAGAGUGUUCAAAACAGGCUUUCGCUUGAAUACAUUAGCAUGGAAUAAUAAGAUAGGACUUUGGUGCUAUUUUGUUGGUUGAGCCUAAAGUAAUGAUUAAUAGGGAUAGUUGGGGGCACCUGUAUUGCGUUGUCAGAGGUGAAAUUCUUGGAUUUACGCAAGACAAACAGCUGCGAANGNGUCUGCNAAGGACGUUUNCAUUA